GGAGAUUGUCCAUGUCCCACAUGGGUGAAGAAAGAGGAGAAGAUACACGGGACGGCACCACUGAGCUUCCUGGUUUUUUGGCUCCUCUGCCUUCACAUUUGGCUGAUUCUGCAUCCACAGACCAGAGGAACAGCAAGAGGAAAAGGCAGAGCAGCAGCCA